rnacentral:misc_RNA from 1 species
GAAAUGCGAUAAGUAGUGUGAAUUGCAGAAUUCAGUGAAUCAUCGAAUCUUUGAACGCACAUUGCGCCCCUUGGUAUUCCAUGGGGCAUGCCUGUUCGAGCGUCAUUUGUACCCUCAAGCUCUGCUUGGUGUUGGGUGUUUUUCCCCGUCUCCGCGCGUGGACUCGCCCCAAAGUGAUUGGCAGCCGGCGUACUGGUCCCGGAGCGCAGCACAUGUCGCGCAAACGAGUGCCUUGGUACGGCGGCGUCCAUAAGCCCCUCUCUCACGCUCUUGACCUCGGAUCAGGUAGGGAUACCCGCUGAACUUAAGC